GGGAGGGAGAGAGAGAGAGAGAGAGGUGCAGAUAGCAGCGACUGCAGCUGUGCCUUGAUGUCAUGCUUAAAACAUGCAAUCUACUGCUCUCCGUUAUGUUUAGUUCCAGUCUCAGUGCAAAACCUCUCAACUCAACACAUCAAAGAGACACAUGCACCUGCGAAUAAAUCACAGCAAAUGCUGGACCAUCCAACAAAGUUCACCUGAUGUCCUCAGUGAUGCCAUCUAGUGCCUCAGAUGGCACCAGUGGCUCCGGACAAAGAAG